UAUAGUGAGAGAGAGAGAGAGAGAGAGAAAAACUCGUCAACUUAAGUGGACAAGAGGUGUUGUCCACCAAUGUUUUUAACCGUUGGAUUAGAUUUUAAUAUCAGAAUUUUGAUUAAAUGACGUGGCACGAAUUAAUUGCUAAGAGGGGUAUUUUCGUCUAAAAAAAUUAGGAAAUCUCUCUUAUAAUUGGAAAUCAGCACCGCCCCCUUAAUUGAUUUUGCAGCCUAAAAAAAAGGAAAUCAUCACCGCCUCUGCUUCAGACCUCCGCCCGCCCAGGCUACGAAAUCAUCACUGCGCUCUUUCAAUAUCCCCCAACAAUCCCUCUCGCCGUCCACGCGCUUCAGACCUCCGCCCGCCCAGGUUAGGAAAUCAGCCCUUCGCCCGUCCACGCGCUUCAAUAACCUUGACGAAGCUGACUGCUUCACUCAUGGCGGAAAAAAACUUAAGCGGAAAAAAACUUAAGCCCGUCUACUCGCUUCAGAGCGCCGCCGCUGGCCAGAGAUCCACCGCCCACUGGCCAAACAUCCGAUUCCCGCACGCGGGCCAAACAUCCGAUUCCUGCUCGCGCUCAGAACUCCGCCAUCCGUCCACUCGCUUCAGAACACCGUCGCUGGCCAGAGAUCCGCUGUUCCUUUGAAGAUUAAAAUCUUGUUAUGGUUGUCUAUUAGGGACAAAUUGAAUACAAAGGACAUACUGAUUAGAAAAGGGAUUGUGAUUGAGAAUAUAUGUGUAUUGUGUGGUGUCGAGGUUGAGACUCAUUAUCUUUUAUUUAUUUAUUUUUGUUUUUUUACAAUGGCCUUAUGUGGCUUCUUUAAGGGGAUCCAUUAAACAUAAAUUUGAUGUAACUGAUGAUUUUAUGAGAGUACAUGAGUUAUGAUCUUCAUGGAGAUUAUUUUGUGUGCCUCAUGUUUGAUGGUAGAA